GGGAAGGCGAGAGGCGGCGGCGGCUGCGGGGGCGGCGGCGGGUGCGGGGCCGCCCCCAGCUCGUAGUGGAGGCGGCAGAACACGGCGCCGUCGCGCAUGCCGAAGUGGUCGCCCUUGGUGAGCAGCGUGCGGCACGCGAAGCACGCGAAGCAGCGCACGUGGAACACCAGGUCGCGCGCGCGCAUCACCAGCUCCGUGGCCGAGAUGGCGGCCUGGCAGCGCGCGCAGCGCCUCGCGCCGAACAACCUGCAACAAGCAGCGCGCGCGUGCUUGUAGUGCUCGACAAGACACGAGCGGGAGGGCCUAACACGGAGCCGGGAUCUCAGCGGACCAGGGCUGCCAGGGACCACUUGACCGCGAUGCGUACAGCGCCCUAACAACAGGACGCGUCGGUAUCGCAACACGCAUCACCUCCGCGCGAUACCUGAGUGCAACAAGCGACCAUCUCCACCAAGGCUCACACCUGCCGUGUAGAAGUUCACAAGAAACCACAACACGAUCAUCUAAGAAUGCGCUGACCGUGGACGAGUGGAAAGGGGCUGAUAGGUCCGCCGGCGAAGCGGGGACAUCUGCCCGCUGUGACACACCGCAGACUGCAGGGACUAGCUGGCUGCACUGAAGCUGUCCAGACUCAGGCGCAGGCCUGCGUCACCUGAGGCCCGACUUAUCGGCGCCGUCAACCUUCUGAGUGUCCUUCUGGCGUCGAACACGUAAAUUAAAUUUUUAAAAAUAAUAAAAUACACAAAUUAUUAUUUUAUCAAUUUGCAAGCUUCCGCCUCUGAAUGUAAAAGGAUUACGAUUGUUAAAAAAAAAAUCAUAUUUCUGAAUCUACUACAUCAAAGGAUAAGAAAUUAAGUAUGAACAAUAAACAUAUAGAGUUACCAAUUUUAUUUUUCUAAACUUCCGGGUUUCAAAUUUUAU